rnacentral:rRNA from 1 species
AGAGUUUGAUCCUGGCUCAGGAUGAACGCUGGCGGCGUGCCUAAUACAUGCAAGUCGAACGAAACUUCUUUAUCACCGAGUGCUUGCACUCACCGAUAAAGAGUUGAGUGGCGAACGGGUGAGUAACACGUGGGCAACCUGCCCAAAAGAGGGGGAUAACACUUGGAAACAGGUGCUAAUACCGCAUAACCAUAGUUACCGCAUGGUAACUAUGUAAAAGGUGGCUAUACUACCGCUUUUGGAUGGGCCCGCGGCGCAUUAGCUAGUUGGUAAGGUAACGGCUUACCAAGGCGAUGAUGCAUAGCCGAGUUGAGAGACUGAUCGGCCACAAUGGAACUGAGACACGGUCCAUACUCCUACGGGAGGCAGCAGUAGGGAAUCUUCCACAAUGGGCGCAAGCCUGAUGGAGCAACACCGCGUGAGUGAAGAAGGGUUUCGGCUCGUAAAGCUCUGUUGUUGGAGAAGAACGUGCGUGAGAGUAACUGUUCACGCAGUGACGGUAUCCAACCAGAAAGUCACGGCUAACUACGUGCCAGCAGCCGCGGUAAUACGUAGGUGGCAAGCGUUAUCCGGAUUUAUUGGGCGUAAAGCGAGCGCAGGCGGUUGCUUAGGUCUGAUGUGAAAGCCUUCGGCUUAACCGAAGAAGUGCAUCGGAAACCGGGCGACUUGAGUGCAGAAGAGGACAGUGGAACUCCAUGUGUAGCGGUGGAAUGCGUAGAUAUAUGGAAGAACACCAGUGGCGAAGGCGGCUGUCUGGUCUGCAACUGACGCUGAGGCUCGAAAGCAUGGGUAGCGAACAGGAUUAGAUACCCUGGUAGUCCAUGCCGUAAACGAUGAGUGCUAGGUGUUGGAGGGUUUCCGCCCUUCAGUGCCGGAGCUAACGCAUUAAGCACUCCGCCUGGGGAGUACGACCGCAAGGUUGAAACUCAAAGGAAUUGACGGGGGCCCGCACAAGCGGUGGAGCAUGUGGUUUAAUUCGAAGCUACGCGAAGAACCUUACCAGGUCUUGACAUCUUGCGCUAACCUUAGAGAUAAGGCGUUCCCUUCGGGGACGCAAUGACAGGUGGUGCAUGGUCGUCGUCAGCUCGUGUCGUGAGAUGUUGGGUUAAGUCCCGCAACGAGCGCAACCCUUGUUACUAGUUGCCAGCAUUAAGUUGGGCACUCUAGUGAGACUGCCGGUGACAAACCGGAGGAAGGUGGGGACGACGUCAGAUCGUCAUGCCCCUUAUGACCUGGGCUACACACGUGCUACAAUGGACGGUACAACGAGUCGCAAGCUCGCGAGAGUAAGCUAAUCUCUUAAAGCCGUUCUCAGUUCGGACUGUAGGCUGCAACUCGCCUACACGAAGUCGGAAUCGCUAGUAAUCGCGGAUCAGCAUGCCGCGGUGAAUACGUUCCCGGGCCUUGCACA